UAUCUUUGGCAAAUAUGUGCUUAUAAUC
rnacentral:sRNA from 1 species